rnacentral:rRNA from 1 species
GAUGAACGCUGGCGGCGUGCCUAAUACAUGCAAGUCGAGCGAACGGACGAGAAGCUUGCUUCUCUUAUGUUAGCGGCGGACGGGUGAGUAACACGUGGAUAACCUACCUAUAAGACUGGGAUAACUUCGGGAAACCUUAGCUAAUACCGGAUAAUAUUUUGAACCGCAUGGUUCAAAAGUGAAAGACGUUCUUGCUGUCACUUAUAGAUGGAUCCGCGCUGCAUUAGCUAGUUGGUAAGGUAACGGCUUACCAAGGCAACGAUGCAUAGCCGACCUGAGAGGAUGAUCGGCCACACUGGAACUGAGACACGGUCCAGACUCCUACGGGAGGCAGCAGUAGGGAAUCUUCCGCAAUGGGCGAAAGCCUGACGGAGCAACGCCGCGUGAGUGAUGAAGGUCUUCGGAUCGUAAAACUCUGUUAUUAGGGAAGAACAUAUGUGUAAGUAACUGUGCACAUCUUGACGGUACCUAAUCAGAAAGCCACGGCUAACUACGUG